rnacentral:rRNA from 1 species
GGGUAUAUCAUUUCGGUGAUAGAGACCGGCGCACGGGUGCGUAACGCGUAUGCAAUCUACCUUUUACAGGGGAAUAGCCCAGAGAAAUUUGGAUUAAUGCCCCAUAGUAUUAUAGAAUGGCAUCAUUUUAUAAUUAAAGUCACAACGGUAAAAGAUGAGCAUGCGUCCCAUUAGUUAGUUGGUAAGGUAACGGCUUACCAAGACUAUGAUGGGUAGGGGUCCUGAGAGGGAGAUCCCCCACACUGGUACUGAGACACGGACCAGACUCCUACGGGAGGCAGCAGUGAGGAAUAUUGGACAAUGGGCGCAAGCCUGAUCCAGCCAUGCCGCGUGCAGGAAGACGCAUCUAUGGUGUGUAAACUGCUUUUGUACAGGAAGAAACACUCCCUCGUGAGGGAGCUUGACGGUACUGUAAGAAUAAGGAUCGGCUAACUCCGUGCCAGCAGCCGCGGUAAUACGGAGGAUCCAAGCGUUAUCCGGAAUCAUUGGGUUUAAAGGGUCCGUAGGCGGUUUAAUAAGUCAGUGGUGAAAUCUGGUCGCUCAACGAUCAAACGGCCAUUGAUACUGUUAGACUUGAAUUAUAAGGAAGUAACUAGAAUAUGUAGUGUAGCGGUGAAAUGCUUAGAUAUUACAUGGAAUACCAAUUGCGAAGGCAGGUUACUACUUAUGGAUUGACGCUGAUGGACGAAAGCGUGGGGAG